rnacentral:rRNA from 1 species
AGAGUUUGAUCCUGGCUCAGGACGAACGCUGGCGGCGUGCCUAAUACAUGCAAGUCGAGCGGAAUGAAGAAGAAGCUUGCUUCUUCUGAUUUUAGCGGCGGACGGGUGAGUAACACGUGGGCAACCUACCUUGUAGAUUGGGAUAACUCCGGGAAACCGGGGCUAAUACCGAAUAAUCCAUUUUGCUUCAUGGCGAGAUGUUAAAAGGCGGCUUCGGCUGUCACUGCAAGAUGGGCCCGCGGCGUAUUAGCUAGUUGGUAGGGUAAUGGCCUACCAAGGCGACGAUACGUAGCCGACCUGAGAGGGUGAUCGGCCACACUGGGACUGAGACACGGCCCAGACUCCUACGGGAGGCAGCAGUAGGGAAUCUUCCACAAUGGACGAAAGUCUGAUGGAGCAACGCCGCGUGAGUGAAGAAGGUUUUCGGAUCGUAAAACUCUGUUGUAAGGGAAGAACACGUACGAGAGUAACUGCUCGUACCUUGACGGUACCUUAUUAGAAAGCCACGGCUAACUACGUGCCAGCAGCCGCGGUAAUACGUAGGUGGCAAGCGUUGUCCGGAAUUAUUGGGCGUAAAGCGCGCGCAGGCGGUCCUUUAAGUCUGAUGUGAAAGCCCACGGCUCAACCGUGGAGGGUCAUUGGAAACUGGGGGACUUGAGUACAGAAGAGGAAAGCGGAAUUCCACGUGUAGCGGUGAAAUGCGUAGAGAUGUGGAGGAACACCAGUGGCGAAGGCGGCUUUCUGGUCUGUAACUGACGCUGAGGCGCGAAAGCGUGGGGAGCAAACAGGAUUAGAUACCC